rnacentral:lncRNA from 1 species
UUGUUUUAGAGAUAAUUUAGCGAUUCAUCAAAAUUUAUGAUGAUCAUCAUCCUAACCUUUUGGUAUCUGGUGUAGUGAACAACAACGUAGCAUGGGUAGCGUUUCUGGUUAAUUCUUAAAGCUCAUUGUAAUUAACUCUAUCCAUGUAAAUCAUUUGAAGAGGGUAUAUAUAUAUACAUACGUAUCUCUACUAAAUUCUGCUACAAUC